GGGUCAGUAGGUUGGUCGUGCCUCCGGUACGUACUGGUCUCACUGAUUCCUCCUUCCUGAAGAACCGUAAUGCCAUUAAUUUGGUGUUGCGGGGAAACAGGACUGUUACUUUGAAAAAAUUAGAGUGUUUAAAGCAAGCUAACGCUUGAAUACAUUAGCAUGAAAUAAUGAAAUAGGACGAUCGAUCCUAUUUUGUUGGUUUCUAGGAUUGACGUA
rnacentral:rRNA from 1 species